rnacentral:misc_RNA from 1 species
CAACCCUCAAGCUCUGCUUGGUGUUGGGCAUCACCAGCCUUGGUGUGCCUUAAAAUCAGUGGCGGUGCCUCCUGGCUCUCAGCGUAGUAAUCUCCUCGCUAUAGAACCUGGUAGGUGUCUGCUAUCAACCCCUAGUUUUCUCAAA